rnacentral:rRNA from 1 species
GAUGAACGCUGGCGGCGUGCCUAAUACAUGCAAGUCGAGCGAACAGAUGAGGAGCUUGCUCCUCUUACGUUAGCGGCGGACGGGGGAGUAAAACGUGGAUAACCUACCUAUAAGACGGGGAUAACCUCGGGAAACCGGAGCUAAUACCGGAUAAUAUAUUGAACCGCAUGGUUCAAUAGUGAAAGACGGUUUUGCUGUCACUUAUAGAUGGAUCCGCGCCGCAUUAGCUAGUUGGUAAGGUAACGGCUUACCAAGGCAACGAUGCGUAGCCGACCUGAGAGGGUGAUCCGCCACACUGGAACUGAGACACGGUCCAGACUCCUACGGGAGGCAGCAGUAGGGAAUCUUGCGCAAUGGGCGAAAGCCUGACGGAGCAACGCCGCGUGAGUGAUGAAGGUCUUCGGAUCGUAAAACUCUGUUAUUAGGGAAGAACAAAUGUGUAAGUAACUAUGCACGUAUUGACGUUACCUGAUCAGAAAGCCACGGCUAACUCCGUG